AUGCUUAUGUAACCAAGUACAAAUGUACUUAUGUUUUAAUUACUUGAUAUUUUGAUUUUUGUUGACAAUCACACUUGAAAUAUAUCUAACAUUGUGAAGUUGUGUUUGUUGUUUUUCAUUGCUUUGAAAGUCUAUGAAAAUGUUGCUGGAUAAAAGUAUAUUCAUAUCAUUAUGUUUUAUUGCUUGAUUUCAUUUCUAAUUUACUGCUGACCUUUGAAUAGGAUCAAGAGUACAGUUAACCUUGCUACUUUUAAUUUUGUUUAAAGAUUGGAAUCAGAUGUUAAUGAUUUUGUGUACAAUAAUUGUUUUGUAUCUUCAUUAUUAUUGUUUUGGUGUUCUGGUUUAUUUUUCUGUCAGAAAG
rnacentral:lncRNA from 1 species